rnacentral:rRNA from 1 species
GACGAACGCUGGCGGCGUGCCUAAUACAUGCAAGUAGAACGCUGAAGAGAGGAGCUUGCUCUUCUUGGAUGAGUUGCGAACGGGUGAGUAACGCGUAGGUAACCUGCCUUGUAGCGGGGGAUAACUAUUGGAAACGAUAGCUAAUACCGCAUAACAAUAGGUGACACAUGUCAUUUAUUUGAAAGGGGCAAUUGCUCCACUACAAGAUGGACCUGCGUUGUAUUAGCUAGUAGGUGAGGUAACGGCUCACCUAGGCGACGAUACAUAGCCGACCUGAGAGGGUGAUCGGCCACACUGGGACUGAGACACGGCCCAGACUCCUACGGGAGGCAGCAGUAAGGAAUCUUCGGCAAUGGGGGCAACCCUGACCGAGCAACGCCGCGUGAGUGAAGAAGGUUUUCGGAUCGUAAAGCUCUGUUGUAAGUCAAGAACGAGUGUGAGAGUGGAAAGUUCACACUGUGACGGUAGCUUACCAGAAAGGGACGGCUAACUACGUG